AAAUGUCUGACUGCUAACAUGUUUUAAAAACCAAAACUAUGGGCUGGCCAUGGUGGCUCACACCUGUAAUCUCAGCACUUUGGGAGGUUGAGACAGGAAGAUCGCUUGAUGCCAGGAGUUUGAAGCCAGCCUGGGCAACAUAGCAAGGUUCCAUCUCUCCAAAAAAUUUUAAGAAAUUAGCCAGGUGUGGUGGCUCACGCCUGUAGUCUCAGCUACUUGGGAGGCUAAGACAGGAGGGUUACUUGAGCCCAGGGGUUCCAGGCAACAGUGAGCUAUGAUCGUGCCACUGCAUUCCCACCUGGGCAACAGAGCAAGACCCUUUCUCAAAUAAAAGAAAACAGAAACAAAGGCCAGGAGCGGUGGCUCACGCCUGUCAUCCCAGCACUUUGGGAGACUGAGGCGGGCUGAUCACUUGAGGUUAGGAGUUCCGGACCUGCCUGGCCAACAUGAUGAAACCCCGUCUGUACUAAAAAUGCAAAAAUUAGCCGGGUGUGGUGGCGGGUGCCUGUAAUCCCAGCUACUCAGGAGGCUGAGGCAGGAGAAUUGCUUGAACCUGGGAGGCAGAGCUUGCAGUGAGCCGAGAUCGCUCCACUGCACUCCAGCCUGGGUGACGAGCGAGACUUUGUCUCAGAAACUAAAGAAAAUAAAAGAAAACAAAGAAAAAACCAAUGUUAUGCAAAAUUGCUCCACAGACUGCUUCCCAGGUCUGCCUGAAGAAGCCACCGUCCCAGUCCGUGGCACUAACCUGGUGUUCCGCAGGUGUUGUCUCUAUUCCCUGGCACAUGUGUCCUGAGGCCACCCAGAGGCAGUGCCCCCCAACCACCUCACAGCUGCUGUCCCUUCACAGCCUGCUGGACCCAGGGAUCGCUUCCUUUCAGCUUUGUGCUGAAACACACGUACCUACAGAACAGUGCCCAUGCAAGGGCCUCGUGUGCGGAGAGCUGUGCAGAGAGCUGACGUUUACCAGUCCAGCACACCGGUGCAGCCAGCGAAUAUGCCCGGCCCCCUGAGGCUAGAGAGACCCCUCCAGGCACUGCCCAUCCACCCACCAUGCCACGUCUAGCGCCACCUGCUGGUUCUGUCAGGGUCGCUUUGGACACCUUCUCUUCCGUGUUAGUUGUUCCUCAAAGCUAGACUCCCUCCCUUGCUUUGUCUGCCGGAGGCCUGCUCUUGCCCUCCCAGUACGUGGAAG
rnacentral:lncRNA from 10 species